rnacentral:rRNA from 1 species
GACGGAGGGCGCAAGCGUUGUUCGGAAUACUGGGCGUAAAGCGCGGGCAGGUGGCCCGUUAAGUCUGCGGUGAAAUCCCGGGGCUCAACUCCGGAUAUGCCGCGGAUACUGGCGGGCUAGAGACUGGUAGAGGCGAGUGGAAUUCCAGGUGUAGCGGUGGAAUGCGUAGAGUAUCUGGAAGAACACCGGUGGCGAAGGCGGCUGCGCCGUGGGCCAGUUACGUGACACGUCAUCCGCGAAAGCGUGGGAGCCAAA